AUACCCUGGUAGUCCACGCCGUAAACGAUGUCGACUUGGAGGUUGUGCCCUUGAGGCGUGGCUUCCGGAGCUAACGCGUUAAGUCGACCGCCUGGGGAGUACGGCCGCAAGGUUAAAACUCAAAUGAAUUGACGGGGGCCCGCACAAGCGGUGGAGCAUGUGGUUUAAUUCGAUGCAACGCGAAGAACCUUACCUGGUCUUGACAUCCACGGAAGUUUUCAGAGAUGAGAAUGUGCCUUCGGGAACCGUGAGACAGGUGCUGCAUGGCUGUCGUCAGCUCGUGUUGUGAAAUGUUGGGUUAAGUCCCGCAACGAGCGCAACCCUUAUCCUUUGUUGCCAGCGGUCCGGCCGGGAACUCAAAGGAGACUGCCAGUGAUAAACUGGAGGAAGGUGGGGAUGACGUCAAGUCAUCAUGGCCCUUACGACCAGGGCUACACACGUGCUACAAUGGCGCAUACAAAGAGAAGCGACCUCGCGAGAGCAAGCGGACCUCAUAAAGUGCGUCGUAGUCCGGAUUGGAGUCUGCAACUCGACUCCAUGAAGUCGGAAUCGCUAGUAAUCGUGGAUCAGAAUGCCACGGUGAAUACGUUCCCGGGCCUUGUACACACCGCCCGUCACACCAUGGGAGUGGGUUGCAAAAGAAGUAGGUAGCUUAACCUUCGGGAGGGCGCUUACCACUUUGUGAUUCAUGACUGGGGUGAAGUCGUAACAAGGUAACCGUAGGGGAACCUGCGGUUGGAUCACCUCCUUA
rnacentral:rRNA from 1 species